UCCCAGGUAGUCUAGUGGCUAAGACUUUGUGCUCCCAAUGCAGGGGGCCAAGGUUCAAUUCCUGGUCAGGGAA
rfam:Ovis aries breed Texel chromosome 18, whole genome shotgun sequence.